rnacentral:lncRNA from 1 species
UACCUAUACACGACUAUGUACAAACUAGAUGACACAGACCUAUAUUCAAUAACUCCUAAAACCCUAAAUCCUUAACCUAAAACCCUAAAUCCUAAACCUAAAACCCUAAGAAACCCUAGACCCUAAACCUUAAGAAACCCUUAAUCCUAUAGAUCCAAAAAAAUAAACCCUAAAAACCAUUUAAAACCCAUAAAAACCCUAAACAAUAAACCCUAAAUCCUUAAAAUCCGUCAGCC